UUUCGUCGAAAUUCUAGUUCUCAGGUAAGCAAUGUCUUGUUCUAACUUGUUAUUGAAGAGAUUGAAACUGUUUGAAGCAUUGUCUGCUUAUAUAAUUGCGGCCUGAUCGACUUAUAUGAUUGGUUAUUGAAAGAUGAACAAUUGCACAGGUGCAUAUAGUAAUUAUAUAGAAAACUGUGAUUGUGGAAUUUUUUAUAAUAUAUUUAGUUGUUGUUUUAAUGUUAGUUUUUUAAGUUAGUAAUGGGUCGCAUAAUACACUGUUAAAUUUUGUAUUUACAUUGAUUUCGUCCACCCGGGAGGGGGUGGGGGGGCUAAUUUACGAACUUCCCCUCAGCCUGACAAUCACAGGACCGACCUUGGCUUAGUAUACUUCAUUAUUCUAAAUAAAAUCUGUGUCCUGACAUGCAUGAUAUACAAUUCAUUCCAUAUGUAUUCCCAAAAGCAACAUGUCCAAUUUAAACCGUGCAGUUAAGUCUUAAAAAUAAAAUGGCAUUCCAAAGUACGAAUAAUCAAAUUUAAAACAUUAAUACCACUGUAAAACAUUAGUUUUUUCCUAACAAAAACUGAAAGGAAUAACCUUAUUUGUUUUUCUUAUAGCAAACUCCAGCCAGCACGUGCAUCACCCUAUACCAUGUACUGUUUAUUGCUUCUUCUAACUUGAAUACUAACUUCUAAAGGUGGCUGAAAUGAAGAUUCACGAAUUACACAUCUAGCUGAAUUAAAGCCGAAUGGCUUACGCAAGGAUGAUUGAUAAUAUUGCAAUUAUUCUCGAUCUACAAGGAGAAAUGAAAACAUUUAGACUUCAAUUGAGAAUACUCAAACGUUCAGUUGACAGUGGGCAAGCCUAGCAUGCGAGUGUUUACCUAAGCUCAGAAUCCCGUAACUGCAUACUUAAAGACGGGUGUGCAAUCCAAUGGAAGCCGAGAAUUUCCUAUCUGAUGUGGAACAAUACUUUCUUGCGACUACCUUUAAAGAUGAAGCAAGAAAGGUGUCAACAGUUAUCAUAUAUUUGGGUGGAGUGCAAAACUAUAGUGGCAGAUAAAAUAUACUAAUAUUCAGGCUAACAGAGCCCAUAUAGAUACCUUGGUAUCAUCUCGAGGAGGCGAUUGAACCAAAGUUUUCUUCAAAAAUGUAGAAUAUCAGGCUUGACGGUACUUCGAAAUCUGAAGCAUAUAGGAUCAAUCGGGAAAUAGGAUAAAACCUUUUAACUACACAUGGUAAAUAUUUGAGACAUGUCAAAAAUGAUAAGCUCUUUAUGUUCAUUGAAGGGCUGGAAUCGUGAAUGCAAACUAAACUACAAAGAUAAAAAUUGGUUGAUUUGAGCACUGUAAUGGGAUCAAUUAACCUAUAAAAGAUCGACCACAAGGAAAUAGCCACUCUAAAGGGAGAGAACCUUCAAGCCUGGCUAGAGCUCGAAUUGGUAGAAUUCUAAUCCUACCAUAAAGAAGGAGGCUGUCAAGAUGGCCAUCAGAGUAACUAUCANNNNNNNNNNNNNNNNNNNNNNNNNNNNNNNNNNNNNNNNNNNNNNNNNNNNNNNNNNNNNNNNNNNNNNNNNNNNNNNNNNNNNNNNNNNNNNNNNNNNNNNNNNNNNNNNNNNNNNNNNNNNNNNNNNNNNNNNNNNNNNNNNNNNNNNNNNNNNNNNNNNNNNNNNNNNNNNNNNNNNNNNNNNNNNNNNNNNNNNNNNNNNNNNNNACAUAUAAAGAACCACUAAUUUUCAAUGUCAUAUCAUAAAAAGUCUUCAAGAAUCCAACAAAUACUUCUGCUUGGUCCCAAUCAACAUGUGUUGGUGGUCCAUCUAUAUUUUUCCCAUUAGACCUUUCUUCAUCAAAGUACUUUGUAUAAUUUGCAUCACUUUCCAAAACGUCAAAUGCUUUUUUAAACUUUAUUGCAGCCUGCAACAUCAUGUAGGUGGAAUUCCAUCUAGUUGAUACAUCCAAACACAAUAAACCUCGAGACUCAAUAUUUGCAUCCUUGCAACUCUCUCGAAAUCUUUUUACUCGUGCUGGGGAAGAUCUAGCAUACCGUACAGCAUUGCGAAUAGAUGAAAUAGCAUUGCCAAUUUCUUUUAAACCAUAUCAAACUAUAAGAUUGAGAAUGUGAGCACAACACCUCAUAUGAAGCAUUUCUCCCCCAAGAACUAGACCAUUCUUCUUCUCUAGAAAACAACUCUUCAAUUUCAUUAUUGCUACGUCAUUAGAUGAGGCAUUAUCAACCGUCACACAGAAAAUCUUAUUAAUUUCCCAAUCCUGAAGGCAAGAUAUCAAUUCCUUUCCUACCAUAUUACCCUUAUGGCUGGGGACUUGGAUGAAACUUAUGAUUCGUUUUUUAAGCCUGCAAUGAUCGUCAACCCAAUGAGCAGUCAAACACAUGUAACUUACAUUUUGUAUAGAUGUCCAACAAUCAGUAGUCAAACAAACCCGAUGUUUGCUCAAUUCUUUCCUCAAUUUCUUCUUCUCAUCGAGAAACAAACGAUAUAUAUCCCUAGCAACUGUCAUCCUUGAAGGAAAAUCAAAAGUCGGAAAAAAAUACUUUGUAUAACACUGAAAACCUUCAUCUUCAACGUGUCGAAAAGGUAACUCAGAUAAUAUAAAGUACUUAGUAAUAUGUUCUCUCACCCCUUUUUGAGUAAACUUGACAAGUUGUCCACCACUACUAACACUCUCUAAAACCUCAUCAUUUCUAGAGUUACAAUAGAAAUUUAAUGUCUUUUGCCUUUUGUCUUGAAACCUAUAUGGAUAUUUUUUGCAUAAAUCCUCGAUAUGAUUUCGCAAUAUACUAGUCCCACCUUUAGAUUGAUGCUUAUACACUUGUCCACAAUAAAUGCAUUUUACAGUUCCAUCAUUCUUUAUAUCAAAAUGAGCGCACACAUCGGACCUUUUAUGUCCCUUCUUACCCUUCACACUUUGUUGCAAAUUCACAUUUUCACUCUUUACUGGAAUUUUAUCUUCGGUCCCAUGAUUACUUUGCUCUUCUAAAGUCGAAUCCAUAUCCGAUUAUCUACAUACGAAAAAAAAUCAUAUUAUUCAACAUGACGUCAAAUUAAUAUACAAAAGAAUAUGAACAACAAAAGAUUUCAAGGUAGGCCCCCCACUUGCAACAUUUUGUAAAGAAACUCCUAAUCAAUUAUGAAAUACCAAAAAGGCUUGAAUAUAGUGUUUUUUAUUUUUAUUUAUUUAUUUUUUUUUACCACAAGAGUAACUGAAUAAACAAACAAAGAUAAACACAAUGAGCUGGAAUUCAAGUUCAACUAGACAUUUUGCAUGUUUUGGCUAAACUUAUUUUGGGCCAGAGUCUUGCCUCCCUAAGCAAGGUUCUCAUGGUUCCAAUAACCAUCUGGCAGAGAAGAUUCUUUAAUACACACAUUUCAGUUAUAUAUAAUAUUAAGCAGUAUAGUAGACCAACAAGGUGUUCUUUUAACCAAACCCCUGUUGAGACAAACGGGUACUAAGGACAUGAGGAAUAGCUGCAGGGAGCCAGCUGAAUACUUCUAUUUGUACCUACUCGAAUUCAAGUGUAAAAUCAUUUUCAAUACCUUGACCGUCUUCUAUAAUAAUCUCUGUUUUAUCACUAAAAAAAGAGUAUACAACUCUACAGGGUAGCAUAUUCAUUCUGACAGAACAGGUGCAAUAUGUAAACUGAAAGCCAAUUGCAUGAAGCAGUAAAUCAAAAGAUUUGUCGUAAUGUGAAAUUUACCAAAAUUCUAAUAUGAUAUUGCUUGAUAAAGUGAAUAACCUAGAAGUUACAUUAUACAUCUAGAAGAUGAGCAAUAUUAUCAUGGUUCCCAAAUAACAAAUGGAUAAUUUCAGAAAUUCUAUUUUAGCUCUAUAUGCAGUCAAGCAAAAUGUUUUUGCCUGUUCUAUAUUUCCAUCGAGCCAAUGUGGGUGCCUCCAUACCAUUACCAUACAUUCAAGUCACAUUCAAACCAUACAUAAUAAAUGACUCUUCUCAAUGUCAUUAAGUCAAACACAUUGCCCACACAAUUUGUUUCGCAUAAAAGUAUAUACUGACUGCACUUACAAGACGAGGCCGGAAGCGAUUAUAGACGAGACGAGAGGCUGGAAGCACAUACGUUCAGGGACGACUGACGAGUAGAUUAUAGUGGUUAUAAACUCCUUACUUAGGGACUCGAUUCGAGAGCAGAAAGCGCAGAGCAGAGAGGAAGAUUGAGAAGCGCAGAGCAGAGAGGGAGAUUGAGAAGCCGUUACAAACUCCUGACGAGCAGAUUUAUAGCAGAUUCAGGGAGACUAAUGACCAUAUUUAUAGAGGUUAUAAACUCUUUAGUUAGGCUGCCCAGCAAAUUCGAUACUGAGAGGCGAGAGCGCGUAGCACGGCAGCAGAGGGAGAUUGAGAAGCCAGAAGCCGGGAAAGAGUGAAUUAGGGAAUUUCAUGGUUUCACUUUCAAUUUCGACACCAACAGUAAUUGGUUUUGGGCUGGGCAAAUCUUUUAUUCAGUUUUUCUCUUUGGGCUAGAUAAGUGAAGAGCCCAGUUUUCGAUUUUACCAAAGAAAAUGAAAGUGUUGGGCUGGGAUGUAUUUGAUUUUACUUGGGUUGAAUAAAAUUGGGAUGUAUUUGGUUUUACUUGGGUUGAAUAAAAUUUAAAUUAAAAAUGAUUUUUUUUUUAGCGGUUUGGCGGUUUGAAACGGUUUGCAAAAAUUCAAACCUAAACCAAACCACUUCAAAGCGGUUCGGUUCGGUUCAAAACCAAAGUGUUGACGGAUCCACGUGGAUCCAAACCAACGGUUUCAAAAAAAGGGUUUCGGUUCGGUUUGGCGGUUUCGUUGUUCAGCCCUAAUCAAAACAAAGGAAAGGACCAAAUAGUAGAACAGUAAUACUUAGCGAAAUAUAUAUACUUUUUAUUUGAGGGACCUCAUUGGAUGAUGGACGUUUCGCAAAGACGAUCUUAAAUGUAUAUUGUCAACUAGAGUUAGAGUACCGGUUCAAAGCAAGAUACCCAGAUGAAAGCCCAAGAAUAGAUAACCAAAAGGGAGUGAGUUAGUUUUUAAAUUUUUUUCGAAAAUUAAUCCAGAUUUAAGCAAGUUGAGAAUGAGUAAGUCUAUCAAAUAAAAAUACACGUGUGAAAGCAAUAUGUAAAAGGAAGAGAGUGUGUAAAUGAUAUAAUUGUGGAGGUUCGAUCCCAACUAAUGAUUUAUAUCAUCCGUUACCAAGCUCUCCAUUAUGAGCAAGGCCUUUUCACUAAAUAUGAUUAACAUACGGUAUAAUCUAAAUCCCUUACAAUGCUUCGGUGACUUAUAAACAAGGAGCACCAUUCCCUAUACAAUAUUGAGCUUUCUAGGACUUCAAAAUGACCCACAGAUCAUUUACAAUUUGAAACCUCUCUUUUAAUAAAUGAUAUAAUCAAAAUUAAGUACAAAAAGAAAAAUAUGCUAACACUUUAAUAGAUAGCAAUGGACUAAGCUCAAGUGUUAGGUGAAAAAAAACUUUGAUUAGAAGAAUAAUUUUCAAAUGCUAAUUCAAUCAAAAGCUUUUCAAAGUAAGUGAUUUGAUAAAAAUAAAUAAGAUGUAUAAUAUAAUUUAGCUCAAGAGUAUACCACUUAAAUGCUCUUAAAAGUGUUAUGAUGAAUGCAAAGUGAAAUAGUACUUAUAACAAUCAAAAUGCCAAAAUUUCUAACUAACCGAACAACUCAUUCGAAUGUUUGCAUCUUGAAUAGGAUAACAAAACUAACCGAUGUGCGUCAAAAUUCAAAAUGGAUAAAAAAAAAAGUGACUGUUGGAUGAACUGGACAUCUACUUGGACAAAUUUUCCUGGAUUUUUCUUUCUUGAUUGCUUUGAAUACCGUAGGCUUUUGAAUGAUUUUUCACGUUAUUUUCCAAGGUAAUUGACAUUUUUAAAAGGUUAAAUAUCAAGUUAAAAAAAUAAUUUGUAUGCAAAUGUCUUUAUGAGGUAAUUUUCUCGUGUAUAAAAAUUCAUUUUAUUUAUUCAUUACCAAAGAUUAAAGCAUUUUACAUUUUCAUAUGAAUCCAAAACAUCUAAGUCUAAUAUCUUCGAUAUUUGACUAUUGAAGUUCUUUUCUUUAAGUGAUUUGACGUGAGUGCACGGCCUCUAACUCGAUUUUUAUUGAUCGUCAAUUUUAAGUCUUUUAAUAGCAAUCUUUUUGUCUCCAAUUGGUCAACUUUACAACAAUAGCUAUGAAGACUCGAAUUCAAUUAUUAGAGAUAGAAAUAAUUUGUUUGUUAUAAUCAAACAUGAAGUCAAUCAUAGGUAAAUACCACAAACUAGUAGUCGUUACGAGACUAACUUUGAAGAGGAUGAAGAUGUUGUUUGUGCAUUCUCACACCGGUGCAAUACAUCAUCAUAUCGGGUAAUUGAAAACGACAAUAUUUCCUCAAAGAAAGUAAUUGAGGAAGAGUUAAAACUCAAGUGUAUAAUCCAAAUGCUUAAUGUAUAUCGAUGGGAAGAUUAUUAUGGAAAAUAGCUAGAAAUUAAGGAAAAUGCAAAAUAUUAUUAAACUUACAAAUGAUCAUGGGAAAUGCACUUCAUUGCCCACUUAAUUGAAAGAUUCUCCGUUUGUAAUAUGCUCAACAAAUGAUUCGGAAAGGUGAAUGAUUUUAAAUUGUAAAUUUGGAAUCCCAAUUAUCGAAAACAUCUAGAAAAUUCAAAGAAUCAAGCUUUCAUAACAUAUAUAAAAAAGUAAUAUGUAACUGACAAAAUUUCAUGUCAUAUCAUUAAUUGGUAAAAGGGAAACAAAGGCAACUAAUGUGACUAAGAAACUCAAAAAUAAAAAAAUGCAUUGAAUCACUACAAAGAAACACGACAAAGGCAACAUAAAUGAACAAAUGAGUAAAUACUUCGUCCUCUAAUAUUCAAUUUAACUGAAUAAACACGUGGAGUUGAAGACAUCACAGGCGCACAUUCUCAUAACUAUAUUUCCAUUUAAUUUAUCCAUUGUGCAUUUUGAGUCGUUUGUUUGAGCAAUUCUCGUCAUUUGCCUUUUGAUUUCAUCAAAUUGGUUCCACGCAUACUUAAUUCAUCAUCUAUUGAUCUGAAUCAACUUUUGAAUAUUCUCAAUAUGGUCCUUGAACUUUGAUAAUCCUCAUUUUUCUCCAAUUUUCUUUCAUCUCUUCCAGUUUUUCUUUCAACCACUAAAUGUUACUUAAGAAACUAAAUAUACAAGUGAUUAAGCCAUAAUUAAUGAAAAACACUCCUAAAUUAUCUAUAUUUAAAUGACUAGAUAAAUAUAUAAAUACAUUUAUCAAACACCACCAAAAUUGAACACUUAUUUGACUUCAACCAAAACUAUAACAUAUCUCAAUAAACAAGCAUGCAAUAAAUAUUUUAGUUAAAUAAGUUGUCAUUUGUCUCAAGAUUGGAAUCAUUGUAUCAAAUAUAUGUGUUUCGCGCGGGUUAAGUCGCUAACAAUUAAAAAAGGAUCAGACGAUUGUGUAAGGGACGAAACCUCUUGAGACAAAAUUCCAAAAAGGGGUGUUCUUUUAUUGGCGAUGAACUUUACAAUUGGAAAUGAAAAACAGCGUGCCUCCAAGGGGCGCAAGCACACGAGUUACAGAAAGAAAAGUGUUUAAGUCUAAAAGCUAAGGAAAUGAAAAUUACAUAUUUUCUGUUCGAGAGUUUUGGAUUCGGUACUUGCUUCUGCAUCCUUUCUCCCUUUUAUACCUCAUAGACGAUCGCUUUGUGAUUAACUACUCUAAAAACUGCUUGAUCGUCCUAUAACUACCCACUUUCUUUUUAGUGGCCAUUUUGUCAUGAAACUGCCUUUUAACUGCUGCCAUUAUCUUUCAUCGUUCAACCGCUUUCGAUUGAAUUUCUUGAGUCGUGGAACGUGAUAAGGCUACUUUAACAACUAACUUGAUAACUGCAUUCCUUGAUAACCACGAUGCGUUAUGUUUGUUGAUACUUUGGGCGACUUGAAGGUUUGGGCGAGAGUAGAAUAACAGUUCUGGGCGACCGUAUGACACUCCAUUCGUUCAGAUUCUGGGCGACUUGCAAACUUGGGCGAUGGCGUUACCGCAUUCUUGGGCCCCUUAUUUGGGCCUCCACCUUGAUUCGUUCGAUUGGACUUCGUUCUUUGGGCUAUCCGAUUUGGGGAUCCUCCAAUUGGGCUUUACUCCUUGGGCUGUUCGAUUUGGGCUGAAUUUUUAUGUGUCAACAAUUACCCCCCAAUAUGGCAGAAUUAAUAACAAUUAUUGAAUUUUGCCAUAUUCACUUCAUAUUUCCAGCGACGUUCGAAAUUCCCAAGAAUUUCAAUCAUUGUUUCCUUCUAUAACUUGAAAAAGUGCGUCGUUUUGCAAACCCUUAUAAACCCCAAACACGCCGUUUCACUGCUACCAAACCACGCCUCAUAUUUUCUGCAUCUCUUUCAUGAUUCACUGUUCAUCUUUUGCUUCCUUGUUACGUAACCCUGAGAAGUUUCGUUCAUUCUCCAAUGGCUGCUUCACAAUCUCAAGCUAGCGAUUCCUUUAGUUUUGAUGACUUUCAGAAACUCCUUAAUCGUCCAAACAUAACUCCGAACUCUCUCGCAUCCGCCAAUGUCGAACUCAAUGAGUUCUACCUAGGUCCUUUCCCCCCACUUUUGAUUCAGCGCUCUUUCCGAUUGCUUUGAAUUUUUGGUCCCCUGAGUAUAACACCUUUAUUUUCCCCCUCGGCCCCAUGUCUAUUACCUUAAGGGAUGUUGGGGCCCUGGUGAAUCUGCCACCUUUGGGCGAUAUGAUUUUCCCCGGUAUCUUAGUUUCUGGUGGCGCCCCAAAGUUUGGCAAGAACUACACCGAUUCUUAUUCAAGCCUGCAGACCCUCCACAAUCAUUCGAGCGCUGAGCCUACCCAUGCUGAGCGAGUGGCCUUUCUUUUAGUUUGACUUUGUAAAUAUGUUUUGUGUGUGCCAAGUAAAAAGCCUUCUCUGAGUUAUUUACCUAUAGCGCACGAAUUGGCGCGUGGCAGGCCUUUGAAUUUAUGUUCUUUGUUUUUGGCUGCCCUUUAUAGAGGCAUGGCUUUUCUUCAGGCUCAAUUAAAGAAUGGUGCAUCUCCCACUGGCAGUGGACCUCUUUGGUUCACUCAACUGUGGUUGAGAUCCUAUUUUCCAUCGCUUGGUGCUCCAUCCAUUUCUCGUCCUUCUGCAAGCUGUUAUGGGCUAGCUAUGGAGCCCUUAACUCCUAUAAAUAUGUCCAGAAGGGACAUUUUUUCAUUCUUUUAUUCUUUAGAUUCAAUCUCUUCCUUUUUUCCUUUUCCUCCUUUUUUGACUCCAAACUAUGUACAUCCCCCUUCCACCAUAGAUAGUGCGAGCACCUCCCUGCUCAUUUGGAUUCAGUUUUUAAUUGGGAGGGAGCUAUUUCAUGAUAUUCUAACCGGGACUAAUGCCAAAGCAGGGGUAGAAAUUUAUGCUCCCCAAUUUUUUGUUCGCCAGCUUGGUUUUGGCCUAACUUGGCCUGUUCCUCUUUGCUAUUCGAAGAACUUAAUUGACCAUUUUCAUACCAUUAAUAAGGCGGAAGCAGAGGCUAUAAACGCUCGCAACCUCCAUUUAUCAAGCCACUUUUCAUUAGCCCCUUUUAAUUCUUGUCAUGCCACUUACCCUCUUUUUGAACAACUCUGGUCAUCGGUGAAGCGCAGAUUAUUUGCGACUGAGGCCAAUCGUGCCUUUUAUUCAUUAGACCAACCGAGCAUUUCUUCUCCUCCUUCUGUUCUGGUCACUCCUUUGUCUGUUUGGAGCACAUCUCCUUCUCGUCGCGCUAAACAGUUUGCUCGUCCAUCUUCUUCUCUCCCUGCUAAGCCUACUACGGUCAAGAGUGCUCCAAGCCGCAAACGGCCAGCCUCAGCAUUUCCUAUUUUGGAGGAUGAUGAUGCCCCUCUUAUCGUCAGGAGGAAGGUAAUUAAAUUGGUCUGUUUACAAAUAUGCUUUUCUACAUUUGAAACUUUUCUGUAUACUGAUGAUCUUUUGGACUUUUCAGAAAAGCUCAGCCUCUCCUUCAAAGGCUUUGACAUCGACAACUCUUGCUCCAUCAUCCUCUGCUAAAGCUACUUCAUCCAAACCUGUUGAUGAAGGGACCAUGUUUAAAGAUACAUCUUUAGUCCCAGAGUCUUCAUCACAACCCAUGGAUGAGUCACCUUCCUCUCAGGGCGUCGACCCCCCAAACGUCGAAGCAGAAGGUAAUUCAGUUUUUUUGAUGUCUUACCUUUGCUCGUGCUAUUGGUCUCUGAUCUGUUGUUCUUGAGCUUUGCAGAUACUCCUAUGAGUCCGCCCGUUGUGGCAACAUCUUCUCGCUCGGACAAGGGGAAAUCCUCACGAAUGGAUGAGUCGUUGGAAGCAAGCUUGGCUGAGGGCGCGCCAUCUUCUACGAUUGUCGACGAAGUAGUUUUUGUUUUACUUCUAUUUCUACCUUGUUCGGUGUAGUGAGGAUUUUCACUAUUGGCGAUCUCUUUUGCAGGAUGCUGACAGGCUUGUGCGUUCUAUCCAAGACUUGUUCGCUUCCUGGGGGCAAAUUCAGACGUUCCGCCCUGCUCCCUCUGAUUGUCCUGCUGCUUCUUCAGAAGAGGAUUUGAAGUUCUUGAAGGAGUUGGUAUUUGAGUACGUAUCCUUCAUGGAUAUGGACAUUAGAAGGGCUAGUGCUGCCAGACAUAAGGAUGAACUUGAGCACUUGAGUGCGAAGUUAGAGCAAGCACUGACACUUCCGUCGCUCAAUCUUUCUGCCGACUUUAAAGCGAUGUUGAAGAUCAUUCACUCCGAGGUCCUUUCUAUGCUGGCCAAGAAUGCUGAACUAAAGGCCAAGCGUACUCAAUAUCUUCGAGCCGUAGCUGAGAAAGAGUCUUUGCGCAUGGAGAUCAACAAGGCUAAAGACGAGUUGAAAGAAAUCUCUUCCGAAGUCAUGAUUGAAAACUCUUUGAUGGUUAACCUGGCUGCUCAGAUAAGGGAACUUCAAGCCAAAAUGGACGAUUGCAGGGCGAGGAUGGCUGCUAAAAAGCGCAACGCCUCCCAGGGAAUUGAGCGAACUAAGUCCUUGGUCGAGCAGUACAAGAAGUUGGAGGUUGAUGAUGAUGACGUCGCGACUGAAUUGAACAUCACUUCUUCUCGAUAGAACGAGGAUUGGGAAAAACUUAGGGAACGAAUUCGUUCUUUAUGGGGUAGACUGUAAUUAAGACAUACGAUGUCUUUUCUCUUUUGUAAUUUUGUUCAGUAUUAACGAACAUUAACUUCUUGUGCAUUUAUUUGACGUUUAUUUUCUAAUCAUCAAUUCUUUAAGCACUUAACUGCUUUGCACUAAGAACCUUGUCCAUUCCCUUUUGAUAUUCCCACUACUGUUCCCAAGACUUAGGGCCAUUUAAUUUCGUUUAUUAGACAGAAAUGUGGCUGUUCAUAUUCUGUCUCUUCAUCUUCACCCCCUAUAAAUGCUUCGCAUUUUUCAUUCUCUAUCUUCAUCUCUUCAUUUUCUUCUUCGAAACCAAUUUGCUGCCAUUUCUUGACAUUCUGACGAUCAACCUGAUCCAAAAAUGGACUGUCUAGUCCGUCCACCUUAUAUUUACCUUGAUAUCACCUUUGGUAUGGGAGGUAUAGGAAAUAUUUUCUGCCCAGCAGCGAAGUUUUUUCCUGCAAAAUUCUUCCCAUCGUCUCUUUGUUCUUCACAAGGAGUCAAUGAUGAGAGGCAAUUUUUGGGCUGCUUGUGGGCCACUUUGCUCGCUGAGAGUGCUUCUCAGCUUGCCUGCUGAGAGUGUUUCUCAGUCUCUUUGCUCGCCAUUGCAGCGAUGCAUUUAGGAAGGUGGUGAGGCCAGUACACCCUCUCACUCAGCAAUCCCACCAUUGCAGCGAUACAAUUAGGAAGGCAGUGGGGCCAGUACACCCUCUUACUCGUCAAUCCCACCAUUGCAGCGAUGCAUUUAGGAAGGCGGUGUGAAGCUUACUCAGAGAUCAACCGGGAGAUCAUCUUACUUUAGUUGUAUUUUGUAGCACGUCCAUCAUUUGUAUCUUUUGUAUUCUUGUAAUGAACGUUUGAUAAUAAAGAACUUUAUUCGAACGUAUUUCGCUCUGUCUUUAUUAUCUUUUGAUCGUCCAGAAUGUUUGGUUAUAUUUUUAUCUGUUCACAUUCCCAUAAAGAAGGAACAUAUUUUUUCAAAUAUUUUCCGUUAAUGAAUCUUACGUGCUUGGUGCCGUCUAGAUCUUCCAAGUGGUACGCUCCAUUAGGCAACACACUGUUUAUUUUGUAUGGUCCUUCCCAAUUGGGCGACCAUUUCCCGUACUUUGAAUCCUUGGUAUCCAAAGGAAGAAUCGUCUUCCAAACUAGUUCAUCCAGGCUGAACGACUUGGCUAUGACUUUUUUAUUAUAAAAUUUAGCCAUUCUUUGCUUUUGAACUUGCAACCUAUCUAAGACGUCCAAUUUCAAUUCGUCUAAACUCAAUAAAUUUUGAACUAGUGAUUCGGCAUAGUCGUCGUCAUUCAACUUAUAUUACAAGUACACUCGAAUCAAUUGCACGUUGAUUUUCAUAGGCAAAACAGCCUCCUGUCCAUAAACAAGUUGAAAAGGAGUAACUUUGGUACUUGACCGAGGUGAUGUUCUAUAAGUCCAUAAGGCCUUGUUCAAACAUUCGUGCCAAUUUCUGGCGUUUUCAUCUAUCAUCUUUCUGAUGAUAUUUUUCAGAAUCUUAUUAGAAGAUUCCGCUUGUCCGUUGGAUUGAGCGUAGUACGGUGUGAAGUUCACUAAUUUAAUCCCAAACUCGCUCAAAAAUUUGUUCACUUGAUCCCCAGUCAAAGAUGUUCCGUGAUCUACCAUUAAAGUUUGUGGAAUUCCAAACCUAUAAAUAAUGUGAUCACGAAUAAACUCUAUAACAUUCUUCUGGGUGAUCUCUUUCAAAGGUACCGCCUCUACCCAUUUGGUGAAAUAGUCGGUUGCAACUAUAACAAAAGUAUGUUGCUUGGACGAUGGAGGGUAGAUCUUCCCUAUCGGAUCUAUCGCCCAACCUUUGAACGGCCAAGGUUUAAUAAUAAGUGCCAUCUCUCGUGCUGGCGCCCUUUGUAUUGGACCAUGUUUUUGGCAUGCUAAACAACUUUUUGCAUACUGAACGCAUAGUUCUCCCAUCUUUGGCAAAAAAUAUCCACUCCUAAUAAUUAACCAUCUCAUCAUUUGGCCAGCUUGAUGAGCUCCACAUAUCCCUUCGUGCACUUCAGCCAUGAUCGUCUUGGUUUCUUGCAAACUUACAUACUUUAGUAAUACACCAUCAGAGCGUUUCUUAAACAACUCUUCAUCUAUUAGUGUGUAAUUCAGCAAACAUAGCUUCGUUUUCCUACUAAUCCCUCCAUUAGGUUCUUUAAGGAACCUUUUAAUCUCUGUUCUCCAAUCCAUUGCAUCUUUAUCUUGUAUACAGUGAAGUUCAAUUUUUCUCGCCCUUCUUUGAAUCACGGGCAAUAUGAUUCUAUAUUCACAAGUAUACUUCCAACUCAAAACCUUUGAGUACCCUGAUACCAUUUGGGCUAACUCAUUUGCCAUGUCGUUAUAUAUCCUAUUAACGCAUUGAAGUUCUACUUGAUCGAAUUCUUCUAGUAAUUCUUGGGCGAUCUCGUACUGACUUAUAAUGGAAUCACUUUGGCAUUUAAAAUCACCGAUCAAUUGAUGGAUCACCAAUUGAGAAUCGCCCCUAACGAUUACAUUUCUUAUUCCCAUAUCUACCAUUAGUUCUAGGCCUACAAUUAAAGCUUCAUAUUCGGCCUGAUUGUUGGUGCACAUUCUGUCUAAGGUGAAUGCAAACUUGUAGCAAAUCCCUAAAGGAUUAAUCAAUGCUACCCCUACUCCUGCACCUUUAGAGGUUUUUGACCCAUCGAAAUACAACACCCAAGGUUUUAAUUCGAACGAAUUGAUUUCUAAUUCGAUUUCUUCACGCAUGUCAAGGCAUGGAUGAUCGGCUAGAAAGUUAGCCAAAACCUGAUUUUUGACUGCCUUUUGAGGUAUAUAUCGUAUUUCGAACUCUGAUAAAACUAGUGUCCAAAGGCCUACCCUUUGGUGUAAAAUAGGGCGCGAGAACAUAUACUUGACUAAAUUUACUUUAGAAAUUAAAUAAACGGUUACGGGCUGUAAAUAAGCCCUUAAUUUUGUACAUAUGAAAUACAGCGCUAGACACAAUUUUUCAAAAGCAGAGUAAUUACUUUCACAUUUCGUUAACCGUCUACUUAAGUAAUAAAUUGCCCUUUCUUCACCAAAUUGGUCUUCCUGUGCGACCAUUCCAGCUAUUGAUUCUUUUUCAGCCGAUACAUACACUUUCAUUGGCCGUCCCUGGAUUGGUGACACCAACACUGGUGGACUUGAUAGAUAUGUCUUCAGGCUUUCAAAAGUCCUUUGAUAUUCUUCUUUCCAGACGAAUUCGUCCUGAUUUUUCAGCUUUAAUAGCGGCGAAAAAACUUUAGUUCACCCUGCACAGUUAGAAAUAAAGCGUCUUAAAAAAUUUACUUGGCCUAGAAACCUUUGCAACUCCUUUUUAUUGUUAGGUGGUUUGCCUUCUAAGAUGGUCUUCGCUUUAUUUUUGUCAAGUUCAAUCCCUCUCUUGUGUACUAAGAAACCCAGAAAGUUCCCUGCAUUAACACCAAAUGCACACUUCAAGGGAUUCAACUUUAACUUAUAUUGCCUCAUUCGUUCAAACGAACAUCUUAACUGUUCGAAAUGAUCAUCUUCUUUAAUGGACUUGNNNNNNNNNNNNNNNNNNNNNNNNNNNNNNNNNNNNNNNNNNNNNNNNNNNNNNNNNNNNNNNNNNNNNNNNNNNNNNNNNNNNNNNNNNNNNNNNNNNNNNNNNNNNNNNNNNNNNNNNNNNNNNNNNNNNNNNNNNNNNNNNNNNNNNNNNNNNNNNNNNNNNNNNNNNNNNNNNNNNNNNNNNNNNNNNNNNNNNNNNNNNNNNNNNNNNNNNNNNNNNNNNNNNNNNNNNNNNNNNNNNNNNNNNNNNNNNNNNNNNNNNNNNNNNNNNNNNNNNNNNNNNNNNNNNNNNNNNNNNNNNNNNNNNNNNNNNNNNNNNNNNNUUUAAAUUUCUAAAGUCUAUACACACCCUUAGUUUACCAUUCUUUUUUAGUACUGGCACAAUAUUCGACAACCAUUCAACAUAUCUGGCUGUUCUUAUAAAACCUGCUUUCAAUAAUCGCUCUAUCUCUUUCUUAAUUUCAGGGAGUACAUUAAGAGCAAAACGUCUAGGAGGUUGCCUAUGAGGUUUAAAAUUAGGCUUAGUUGGUAAUCUAUGUUCCACUAAGUCUCUAUCUAAAUUAGGCAUUUGUUCAUAUUCCCAAGCAAAACAAUCUUUGUACUCUUUUAACAAAGCGAUUAAUUUGUUACUAACCUCUUGGUCGAGCAUCUGGCUGAUGAACGUUGGGUGAUCUUCUCCUUCAUCGCCAAUAUUUACUUUGAUCAGAGGGUCUUGCGCUUGAGCGUAUCCAGGUUUGGCAAUCCGCAUCACUUCGUCGUCCGGUUCUUUUGUAAGUACUUCCUCUUCCAAACAGUCCACCUUGUUGACUUCUCGGCCAAGGCUUUGCUCUAACUCGAAUACUGCCAACUUGUCCUUCAGCGCUUUUAGGGCAGUCUCUUCCUUCGCUUUGUCAUUGCAUUCCUUAUUGAAAGCCAUCAGUCUGGCUUUGAAGGCCUGAAUAUCGGCCAUUUGCUUUUGUAACUCAGAAUCCAUUCAAGAUUCCUUGAUUAUUCUUUUGCCAAUCACUGGCUCUUCUAGGGCCACUAUAUUUGGCCUCAUCUGUUUGAACAUCUCAGUGAGUGCGUCCACUGAGAAUGGUUCUGCGCUUUGCCUGACAACUUGAGUUUCUUCCCCGUCUUGUACUACUCUGACAAGUCCAUAGUUUCCUUCGUACAUGAAUUUUUCCACCGAGUUCGCUUCCGCGACAAAAGGCCUAUGAUCGGCCUGUACCACCUCUGCUUCGCCUUCGUCAUUCCAAAAAAUCAGGCAUUGAUGGAGCGACGAGGGUAUAUAGCGACUUUCGUGUAUCCAAUCUCUUCCUAGGAGCACAUUGUAACUAGUAGGACCAUCUAUUACAAAGAAGACAGUGAUCCUAGUAGUCAUACCUAUAGUUAUGUCUAAAGGCAUAACUCCCUUAGCUGAAGUUGCUCCUCCAUUAAAGCUAGUGAGGAUGACUUCUGUAGGAAUCAUAUCACCCUCUGUCUUUGCUAACUUUCUCAUCAUCCUGGAUGGAAUGGUGUUUAUAGCCGCUCCAUUAUCGACAAGCACCUUUGCCACUGGGACGCCGUUAACUAGAGCUUUAACGUAUAAUGGUCUCAAGUGUUUUGUUAAUUUCAUGGCUGGCUGUUUAAAAACAACCUUUUCGGCAGCCUCUAUUUCUACCUCUUGCUUGUUUUCUGUCAAAUUAUCCCCUUGUAAUAGGUCGACGUGUAGUAUGUCACGCUGAUCCUCUGUCUUCUGAAUUUCCUUCUUACUUUUUUCUAAUGCUUCCUCAUCAGUUAUCCAACCUAUGGGAGGAGGCAUUAUUCUUGGAGGUGACCCAUACUUUUCAGAGCGAGGUAUUAUUUUCUUCCUUUUGGGUGUCCCGUAUAGUACGUAGAAGUCGAAAGGACGCCCAGAUGGCUCCCCCAACAAGUCUACUUCGCGAACUUCCUCUUGGUGUAGUUGCUUAAACAGAGUGUUGCGCGAUACUCCCCUCUUUUUCCUUUCUGCUUCUAGGUCGAUUUCUUCUUCAAUGUCUGUCAUCCCAUCGUCCUCUUCAUCGUUGUAGGCCUCUCCAGAAGUCUGGCCUUCUUCACAUACCAGCAUGCAGGCUUCUCCUUCGUUGUCCUCCCUCUCUUCUUCCUUUUCUUUAUUUUUGAAUUCAUUGGCCAGUAGGUAAUUAUUGGCCACGACAGGAGGCAACGUACCGAAUUGGAUAGCAAGGGGCUGAUCUGGAUCUUCUUCAUCCUUUUUGUCCCUCUCAAACCUUGAUCUCUCAAAAGAGGUUUCUGGCAAUUCCUUCAUUGAUUCAUCUGUACCAGUCUCUUUACUACCUUUGAGGACGUUUUGAUUGACUACCUUGAGUAGUAGAGGCGCUUUAGGAUGUGGCAUUCCUUGUUGCUGCCUCAUCAUCCGUCCGUAGUUUCGCUGGAAAUGCCUUUGUUGGGUCCUAGUCAUCUCAUCGAAGGGUAUUGCCCUUCCUGCGCUGUACUGGAAUGAAUGCCAUACAUUUGGCCGGCGAGGUUGCGGCCUAAAUGUUCUUCCAGUAUCUGCUGGUCUGAACUGCCUUUCAAAAGGCGGUCCUCUAUAGAAUGAUGUACCUCGUCCUCUACCAAACUGAAUGUUUGGGAAGAAGGCAGGGCGAUGAGGAUGCUGCCAUGUCCCUGGUUUCUCCGUGUCUCCAUUUACUUUCCUUUUACACCUUGCACACAGGACGUUUUCGUCCUUUUUUGGUUCUUUCCCUUUGAUUCGUUCGAAAACACUGGGAUGUGUUUUAGUAUCCUCUUCUCCAUCAUCUAUGACCAACUUGAAUUUUGACAACUUGUUCUUGAACCCAGACGUUACCAUAUUUACCCCAAGUGGCUGUGGGAAAGGAUUCUCGUCCACUGCCAUCUUUUUCUUAUCAUCGAACGUAAUUCGUCCUGAUUCAAUAGCAUCCUGCAAUACGUGACGGAAAACCAAGCAAUUGUUAGUCAAAUGUGACCAUGCAUUAUGCCACUUACAAUAUUUUUUACCCUUUAUUUGUUCAGGGUUUGGCGAUUUGUGUUUAUCGCUCAACUUUAUUUGCUUAUCCCUAUAUAAUUUAUCGAAUAUAAGGUCAGCUUUGGUCACAUCGAACGAGAACGUUCUAGCCUUUAUGUUUCCAUCCUUUAUGGGCUCAUCUUUGCCCGAUGGUCUAGGCUUGGCCAUUAUGGGACAAGUAUAUGUAUCCCCUUUUACCAAUUCGGCCAAACACAUUUCGGCCUGAUCGUAUGAUUCGUCGUCGAUGGUAUGAACGUCAAAAUUUGGGUCUUUGUAAUAAAUCUCUUUACUAGAAUUUUUCAUUUGUUCUUCUUCUCUUAUCAGUCGUUCAUACCUAAUCACAGUCGCACUUAACUGGAAAAGGUCAGGAAAUUCCUUGUCCUGGAACUUCUUUUUUAAAUCAAAGCUCAAACAGCCUUGUGCGAUCUUGACAAAUUCUUUCUCGGGUAGAGGUACAAAACACUUGCUUCUUGCUGUCUUGAACCUUUGGAGAAAACUUUCUGCCCAUUCAUUUGGCAUUUGACGUAGAUUUGCCAAAUCAGCCAAAGUGACUUCAGACUCAGUUUUAUAAAACUGAGCGUGAAACAACUGUUCCAGUUGUUGCCAUGUUUGAACAGAGUUCGCUGGCAAGUUGAUGAACCAGGAGAAAGCUACUCCUGUUAACGAACUAGGGAAAAGUCUCAUUUUAUGGUAAUCGGUUACAUCACCACUUUGCAACGUGAAUCGCCCUAUGUGUUCUAGAGUAGACACCUCUCCUAAACCGGUAAACAGUGAGAAUUCUGGCACUUUGUACCCUCUAGGCCAUGGAUAUGCUUGGUCUACCCAAUCAGGAUAUGGUUUUGUGUAUGUCGGCCUAAUGACAGGACGCACCCCAAAAGCCAUCUGAUCCUGCACGAUUUCCAUAAUUUGGUUCCUCAGCAUGACAUUGGGAUCAUAUGGAAUUCCUACAGACUGAUUAACCGGUUGAUUUGCAUGAGGUCUGAUGUUUGAUCCUUGAUUGGCAACAAAAUUACCAUAAUUAGGGUCAUUACCGUUAGCCUGGACAUCUGUUCCCCCAUUACCACGUGGAAUAUUCUGUCCAUUGUUUAGGACAUUAUCUCUCACGUUUGGAUUACCCCCCAAGUUAGGCAUGCCACUACCAUUGUUUUGAUUUGGCACUGUAGUACCCCCUUGGUUUGAAGUAGAGGGACCAGAAAGCGAUUCUACCCCUUGAUUCGGAUUUAGGACAGAGGGGUUAUGUCCCACAAUUGUCCUGGUUUGAAAGUGGUUUGUAAGAGGUAUAGCCGGUUGACAUAUUUGGCCUACUAAAUUAUUCAUUGUUUCGUUUAACAUCUUUAGCUGUUUGGCCAUAUUGUUAUAGUGUGCAUUUCCAUUUUGUGUAAAUCUUUCCAUAUUUUGAAUACUUCGAAGAUUUACCUGUUCAACGACGUCUUGCGUGAGUUCUCCAAGCAAUGCACGCAUGGUUCGAGGACUUAACUUCGUCAUUGGUUCGUAACGACUGUUACUGCUCUGAUUUUGUCCAUCUGUUCGUGGAGAGGCAUGCUGCUCUUCAUAUCGCUCGAUUACAGACUGGAUUCCUCCCUGACUUGCUCCUUCCUUGUCGGAUCUCUGAGGCAUAUUGUUUUACCUUUUGUAUUUUCAACACCUAACACCACUGUCCCACUGGGCGUGCCAAAUUAUUUCGCGCGGGUUAAGUCGCUAACAAUUAAAAAAGGAUCAGACGAUUGUGUAAGGGACGAAACCUCUUGAGAAAAAGUCCCAAAAAGGGGUGUUCUUUUAUUGGCGAUGAACUUUACAAUUGGAAAUGAAAAACAGCGUGCCUCCAAGGGACGCAAGCACACGAGUUACAGAAAGAAAAGUGUUUAAGUCUAAAAGCUAAGGAAAUGAAAAUUACAUAUUCUCUGUUCGAGAGUUUUGGAUUCGGUCCUUGCUUCUGCGUCCUUUCUCCCUUUUAUACCUCAUAGACGAUCGCUUUGUGAUUAACUACUCUAAAAACUGCUUGAUCGUCCUAUAACUACCCACUUUCUUUGUAGUGGCCAUUUUGUCAUGAAACUGCCUUUUAACUGCUGCCAUUAUCUUUCAUCGUUCAACCGCUUUCGAUUGAAUUCCUUGAGCCGUGGAACGUGAUAAGGCUACUUUAACAACUGCCUUGAUAACUGCAUUCCUUGAUAACCACGAUGCGUUAUGUUUGUUGAUACUUUGGGCGACUUGAAGGUUUGGGCGAGAGUAGAAUAACAUCUCUGGGCGACCGUAUGACACUCCAUUCGUUCAGAUUCUGGGCGACUUGCAAACUUGGGCGAUGGCGUUACCGUAUUCUCGGGCCCCUUAUUUGGGCCUCCACCUUGAUUCGUUCGAUUGGACUUCGUUCUUUGGGCUAUCCGAUUUGGGGAUCCUCCAAUUGGGCUUUACUCCUUGGGCUGCUCGAUUUGGACUGAAUUUUUAUGUGUCAACAAUAUGAAACGCUUCAAAAUUACAAUAUGCAAAAAUCAAUUUCUACUUAUUUAAUUGAUGUGGGUGUAUGAAGAAUUAAGUAAAACGUUGCUUCAAUUCUUGUUCCUCAAUGGUCAAAUAUAUAAUGUCUUGACUCUUGAAAUAUACAACCCAAACAUAUUCUUUUAACUCUCGUUAUCAAGGUGUAAUCUAGCGUUGAAUUUUUUUACUAAGCCCCCGUUUGGCCCCCAUUAAAUUUCAUUACAUUACAUUUCAUUUUUCUUUCUCCUAUUUUUAACCACACAAUCUUCCAUAAAAUAAUAUUAUACGUAAAUCGAAAAAUUUUCUUUCUUUUUCAACCACUCAUUUUUAAAAAAAAAACACUAUUCCACCCAUUUUCAUUUUCAAAAAAUGGGGGCCAAACGAGGGCUAAUUAUCACCCUCUCUAGUUUGGAUAGAUCUCAUUAAUUACACAUCAAUAUCUCUACAAAUAAAAAUUCUCCUUUAUUUUGAUUGCUUCAAUAUCUAAGACUCGGUUAUGCUAGUAAUACCUUGUGAAAAAUCUAAUUAUCUCAAAUAAGUUUUGGAGCUUAAUCAAUACGUUUACUGCAUCUUCUAUUUAAUGCAUCUAUUUUUUCAAGUUUACUUUAUGCACUAAUAUGAUCCUUGUUUUCAUUUUCGAUUUCAAAAGGUGUCCUCAUUGAGAUCUUUUAUAGAGUAUCUUUCACUCAUGAAUCAUGGUAGCUUUUUUCCUUUUUUAUGCAAUAAUGAUUUGUACAAUGCUCCUCAUAAUCUCUUUAAACAUUCAUUUUCAAAAACCGACCUCUAACAUAAGAUUCUCACCCCUUUUUUAUCUUAUUGGUCUCAAAUAAUCCACACAAGAAUUUUACACAUGGAAUAUCCAUUCAUCCCAAUAUUUUUCUACAAUAGUUCAAUCACCCCAAAACCAUACUUAUAAUGGUCUAAAGAUUUAUAAUAUAAUAGUUUAAAUGGUUUAGCAUCUAAGUUACACUAUUUUAACACAUUCAAAAUAUGAAUCAACUCAUUCUUUUCAAUGCAAAACUUAAUCCUUGCUCAUAGUAGAUAUCAAAUUAUACAUGAAUAAACAUUAAUUGACCUAGGUAUAUAGCAUAUCCAUAAUUCAUAAAUCAAUACAUAUUCCUAAUAUAUAUACAUUAUUGUCUACAAGGCUAACUAACACAAACAAGAAAGCAAACUAAAAUGAAAAUCCUUCUGAAAUUUUUAAAAAUUUUCAAUUUUUUCUACUUGUUCAUAAAUAAUAAAGCAAUAAAAUUUCAAAAAAUCACAUAGAAGCAAUAAAAACUUAAUAAUUUGUCAACCCGAAUAUUAAAUCAGGCAUUGUCCUCAAUAUUUUAAAUAUUAUCAACUAAGCAAAAUUAAGGAGGGAGGGAAAAGAAAAGGUGUUCCCUAAAUAGUUAUUUGAUAUUGGAGGUAAGAUUUUUGGAACGGUCCAUUCAAUUCUUCAUUGUGUUGAGCUAUUUUUCGCUUUAUUUAAUUGUACUUUCAAGUUAGGAUAUUAAUCAUUAAUAUUAGAAGUCCACAAAGAUACCAAAAUGGAUGAGAUAUGUAUGAAUGGAGGGAUACAAAUAUAAGAGUUGAAGCUACAGUUUGGCAUAUAUGCAAAGAAAUUUAUUAUGCCUUGGUGCUUUGAAAAACGUGACACUGUUUUUUUUACUAUUUUUUGUACUCAUAUUAGUUUCUUCAAUUUUCUAAGCCUAAUAUUGACAUGAUCACCUUGUUAUUGUAAACAAAAUAUGCCUAUUCUAAAUGCAAUACUAGAUAACUACAUGCAUUAUAAAUAUUAUGUGAUGUACUAUUUGAUCUUUUUUUGGUAAUAUAUUUCAGAUAACUAUGCGGUCAAGCAAGUGAGUCAGACAUUGAUUCUAGGUAUGGAGAUAUUCAGGUCAAUACGUUCGUUACGGUCACAUUUACAUUAUCAUUCCUCUAUUUAUUUAUUUAGUUUUGGUUUUUAUGGAUCGAGAGGAAUGAAGUGAAACACAAGGAUACCAGCAUAGUACCUAGACAGAUUAUUUGAAGGGUCUACCGUAUGAUUUUAUUUCUUCAUACAAGUCGAUUGUGUUUAACUUAUACACUGGUGAGGAGAUUUAGCUCUUGCAUCCUAAUUUGGUAUCUUUAUGACCCUA
rnacentral:lncRNA from 1 species